UUUCCCCAACAAUGACAUAAUUAGCCCAUUUAGCUCCAAAAUGCCAUAAUAAGCUGAAAAUGGCAUAAGAACCUUGGUUAGCUCAUUAAUAUUAUAUGCUUAGCUUGUUUUCCUCUAAAAUGAGAUAAUUAGCCCAUUUAGCUCCAAAAAGACAUAGUUAGCUAAUUUAACUCCAGGAAGAUGAGAAGAGAAGAAAUAGGAAAAACGGAAAGAAAGAAAGAAGAAGAAGAAGAAGAAGAAGAAGAAGAAGAAGAAGAAGAAGGAGAAGGAGGAGGAGUAGGAGGAGGAGGAGAAGG
rnacentral:lncRNA from 1 species